UGAUAAAUGGGGUAUCUGAUAAACAAGAUAUAUAUUCUAUGAUGGAGUUUCUGGUGUCCCAAUAGGGUCUUUUUCUCAGAGGAUCCUUUUCUCACAGCUGGGCCAUACCCUGACUCACAAGCCUCUUUUCUCCUGUUCCCAUGUGGCCCCAGGAUCUUUACCCUGUCACUCUUCUUUGCCUUCUCAGGAGACAGUAAGUCCUAGUCUUAUGGAGGUGUUAACAUAUAAGAGACUGUAAGCUGAUAGUCAGCCAUUUGUACCUAAUAGACAGGCAGUCCUCAAAUGCUCAGAGAUCUGUGUAAUAAGGCACUUAAAAUGUUGAUCAAAGGGGUUGGGGAUUUAGCUCAGUGGUAGAGCGCUUGCCUAGCAAGCGCAAGGCCCUGGGUUCAAUCCUCAGCUCAAAAAAAAAAGAAAAGAAAAGAAAAGGAAAGGAAAAUGUUGAUCAAAGAGCUUAUUAUAUCAGACAGAGACUCCCAGAUCCUAACAGUGACCCAAGGUCUCUGAAGAACAUUAUGAGGCACAGCAGUAUCUCCACCUGGAUUAUGGCAAUGCUGACCUCUGGGCAAGAUGGCCCAGUGCCACCAGGACCUGGCCCAGACUGUGGACUAACAGCAGGACAUUGGAGAAUUGAUUGCACCCUUUUUGCCUAGACAAAAUAAGAUCAGGUUUCCCUCCCUCUUCCAUGAGAAAAACUCCCACCUUAUCGGCCUGGUGGCCAAAGAUUGAUGCUGUUCUGAUGCUUCUGCCUCUAAAGAUGUGGAGAUGUGGAUGUGGCUAGAUGGUGUGGACUGGUCCCUAUAAUUUUUAAUAGAGUUGAAAGCUGCUUGGCCUGUACUCGGUUAUAAUUUGUUCUUCUCAGAUCUCUGAUUACAUUUGAUGACCAGGCUUUGCUUCAGCGGCCUUCUCAGUUCUCUAUAUAGAAUUCACAGGUCUCCCUCUCCUAGGGCUACUACUAAGUCUAGACACAAUUUUCCUUGUUACCAGAUCAGAUAAACUCACAGAACAGAUUUCAAUGUAACUUUUUACAAUGACUUCUCUCAGUAUCUCCUGGAGAAUUAGAUAAAAGAAACAGCUUUAAGGUUUGUUUAUAUGAAGAUAGGAAAGCUGUCUCACUUCUGUUCACUUACAUAUACUUCUCAGAUCUGAUGAUAUUUAGGGAAGCCUCUCUCCUUCUUCACCCGUUCAACCACUUCCAUUCAGUAAAUUUCCUCUGGUUAUACAUUUAAAGACAUAUUUUAUUGGGCUGAAUCCAUGAAAUAGUCAUACCUUUUAAUCCAAAGCCUUUUGCUGUGACACUAACAUGUAAAUUUGUUCCAGCUGUCUUACAGACACCUGCAGGUUCCGGAAAAAUUUCUGCUACUGUAUCAAGAAAUCUGGUCUGAUGAAAACUGACAGUCUCCAGAGCCCAUUUUGACCCCACCCAUUUUCAAGCAUAUUUUGCAGUUUCACUCCUCCUGCCAGACUCCUGCCAAGGCCAAUCAACAGGAAGUCCUUCAGAUAUGGUAACCCUGCACCGGCUAUGAGAAUGCCAACCACCAACAGAGGAUGCCAACCAGUCGAAUACUGACAGUGUAAAGUAUUUCACAACAUCUCACCAGAUGGAAGAAGGCAGUAUAUCCACCAAGCGCAGUUGGUGGUUGAUCCAGAAGAUGCUGGCUCCCUGGAUCACCACACAAGUGGACACAGAUGUCCUGGAGUCCAGGAGGAUGCCCUCAGAAAUGGCUAAAAUGAAAAACAGAAACAAUGCCAGGGCUUAAAAAGAAUUUGAAGCAGACAGAAGCCUUGCACAAAACUCCUCAGGAAAAAGCAACAGAAAGUUUUGUGGACUUCAGCAUCCUGCUUGGCCUCUUUGCAGUAUCUCUACCCUCAGGGGUGAGACAGGAUGCUGUGGAAUGAGAGGGCUUUAUGACCUACUGUGGGACAAAGGUAGAUUGGGAGAUUUCAUCAAGGGACUCUCCCAACAAAGAGUGGGUCCCAUUACUGUAUUUUAAUAAAUUAUAUUAUGCCUUUU